AAACCAGUCCACUCUGUCUCUCUCUCUCUCCGUCCUUCAUCCUCUCGCAUUUCUUGUUUCUUCGAUUUCUUCUGCAAAAAUGAGAGAGAUCCUUCAUGUUCAGGGUGGGCAAUGUGGCAACCAGAUCGGUGCCAAGUUUUGGGAGGUGGUUUGCGCCGAGCACGGCAUCGACACCACUGGAAAGUACGGUGGUGAUUCCGAACUUCAGCUCGAGAGGAUUAAUGUGUACUACAAUGAAGCCAGUUGCGGUAGGUAUGUGCCUCGUGCUGUUCUUAUGGAUCUCGAGCCCGGCACCAUGGACAGUAUCAGAUCUGGACUUUAUGGCCAGAUCUUCAGGCCGGAUAACUUUGUUUUUGGUCAAUCUGGUGCUGGAAACAACUGGGCGAAAGGACAUUACACCGAAGGCGCUGAACUUAUUGAUUCCGUGCUCGAUGUUGUCCGGAAGGAGGCGGAGAAUUGUGAUUGCUUGCAAGGGUUUCAGGUCUGCCAUUCUCUAGGAGGAGGAACUGGAUCUGGAAUGGGAACACUUCUGAUUUCGAAGAUCAGAGAAGAAUACCCCGACAGGAUGAUGCUUACUUUCUCUGUCUUUCCAUCUCCCAAGGUCUCUGAUACUGUCGUUGAGCCUUACAAUGCAACUCUCUCAGUUCAUCAACUGGUGGAGAAUGCAGAUGAGUGCAUGGUUCUUGACAACGAAGCCCUUUACGAUAUCUGCUUCCGUACUCUCAAGCUCACCACUCCAAGCUUUGGUGAUUUGAAUCAUUUGAUCUCUGCAACAAUGUCCGGUGUGACUUGCUGUUUGAGAUUCCCUGGACAGCUCAACUCAGAUCUCAGAAAGCUCGCUGUUAAUCUCAUUCCCUUCCCUCGUCUCCACUUUUUCAUGGUGGGUUUUGCUCCUCUUACAUCUCGUGGUUCUCAGCAGUACAGAGCACUGACUGUGCCCGAGCUUACUCAACAAAUGUGGGAUGCCAAGAACAUGAUGUGUGCCGCCGACCCACGACACGGUCGCUACUUAACUGCCUCUGCUAUGUUCAGAGGCAAGAUGAGCACAAAAGAGGUCGAUGAGCAAAUGCUCAACGUACAGAACAAGAACUCCUCUUACUUCGUGGAGUGGAUUCCAAACAAUGUCAAAUCGACUGUUUGUGAUAUCCCUCCCACCGGUUUGAAAAUGGCUUCGACUUUCAUCGGAAAUUCCACAUCAAUUCAGGAAAUGUUCCGACGUGUGAGCGAACAGUUCACUGCCAUGUUUAGGAGGAAAGCUUUCUUGCAUUGGUACACCGGUGAAGGUAUGGACGAGAUGGAGUUCACCGAGGCCGAAAGUAACAUGAACGAUCUGGUUUCGGAGUACCAGCAGUACCAAGAUGCCACAGCUGAUGAGGAAUAUUACGAGGAAGAAGAAGAAGAGGAACCUGAAGAUGUGUAAGAUGAAGAAGAUAGUAUGGGGUUUCCAUGUUUGUUGUAGGGAUGUAAUAUGUUGCAAGUUUUGCAACUUUCUCUUGCCAGUCGUGAAUGUUUUUUUUUUUUCUUUUUUCUGUUGUCUUUUAUUAUGUGCUUGACUUUUGGAACUGAUUGUGUCUUCACUCUGUUCAAAUUUUAACCUACUACCUAAUAUGAAUUUUUGUUCAAAUCCCAUGUGA